CCUACGGGAGGCAGCAGUGGGGAAUAUUGGACAAUGGAGGCAACUCUGAUCCAGCCAUGCCGCGUGAGUGAAGAAGGCCUUAGGGUUGUAAAGCUCUUUCAGAUGUGACGAUGAUGACGGUAACAUCAGAAGAAGCCCCGGCUAACUUCGUGCCAGCAGCCGCGGUAAUACGAAGGGGGCUAGCGUUGUUCGGAAUUACUGGGCGUAAAGCGCGCGUAGGUGGUUCAGUCAGUCAGAUGUGAAAGCCCCGGGCUCAACCUGGGAACUGCACCUGAUACUGCUGAGCUAGAGUACUGUAGAGGGGGGUAGAAUUUCAGGUGUAGCGGUGAAAUGCGUAGAGAUCUGAAGGAAUACCGGUGGCGAAGGCGGCCCCCUGGACAGAUACUGACACUCAGAUGCGAAAGCGUGGGGAGCAAACAGGAUUAGAUACCCGAGUAGUC
rnacentral:rRNA from 1 species